CAAGUAGGCGGUUUAUUAAGUGAGGGGUGAAAUCUUCCGACUCAAUCGGAAAACUGCCUUUCAAACUGAUAGACUUGAGGCAGGUAGAGGGAAAUGGAAUUCCAGGUGUAAGGGUGAAAUCUGUAGAUAUCUGGAAGAACACCGGCGGCGAAGGCGAUUUCCUGGGCCUGUCCUGACGCUAAACUGCGAAAGCUAGGGGAGCAAACAGGAUUAGAUACCCUGGUAGUCC
rnacentral:rRNA from 1 species